rnacentral:lncRNA from 1 species
CGGAAUCAUAGUCAUAGCUCCUUCAGGAAAAAUUCCACAUUUAGAGUACCGCAAUGAAUGCAACAAUGUCAAAGUUCUCAAUUGAAGACAUUCUUAGAACCGAAAGAGGAGAGGAAAGGGAAGUUACGAAUAAAGAAGAAAAAGAAUGCCCUUCGCAAUUGUUCUAGCACUAUCUUUGUCGGCUUACGGUCCCUUGGCAGUGUUCUGAGCUUCUAAGGCUCAAACACUCAGCAUCGGCUUCUCCAAUUUUCGUCUACAACGGCCUGGUAGCCGCUUCUGGAAUGACAAUCGCCUGCCGGUUGGGUGAGUAGGACGGGGAGGACUUGUAUGCAGGCAGACAGUACGAGGGAUGAACGGCCGCAGUGCAAGGGAUGCGGCAAACCCAAGGCCGACGCCGUACAUUUGAACAUUUGAAAUGGCUCUACGUGAUGGUGGCAAGCCCGAAGAUGUGCGCACACACCCGUUACUCCAAUCAGAAGCUGCGGCUAUUCAUCAUCUGUCAGCUACCGCAAACACCCUCAUGCCCAGAGAAGCCCGACUGGAAGUGCGCCGUCGCUCCAGACCACGUGACCCCAGAAAUGUGCUCUUACGAUGCCUUCUCGUCGAGGACCUCCCCGAGCAUGAGUCGCUUCUUCGAGAGACGGCGUCCCCUCGUUCCGAUGCUCUGCUUCAAGAACGCCGAGAAGCGUCUCGAAGAGCUCGAAGCGUCGAACGAGAGAGGCUGAGGCGCAAGAUGGAGGCGUGCGGGGCCAGAGUUCGAGGAAGAUAAGCAGGCGAGCGAAGGCCAAAG